GCGGCGGGGAGGGGCGGCUAGCCGCGACGGCGGCGGACGGAGGGGGAGGGCCGCGAGCCUUCGGAACCAGCCUCGAGGGUGCUGAACCCCGCGCGCCCGCCUCGCCGCGGCCCCCGGGUGGGGGCGUCCACGGCCCGGGUUCCCGGCGGGCUUGGGGCAGGGACGCAGUCCGGAGAUUCCGGGACUGCCCGGCUGCUGCAGCCCGCAGGCUCCUCUCUCCUCCCCGCUUCCCCUCCGCACUGCCUGGGCUAAAGGCGGCCAAGCUGAGGCUCCGAAAGAAAAGGGAAAAUUGCAACCCUUGCCUACAACCAGACUGACAGCAUAAUUUCUUAGGAAUCAAGAAUCAAUACAGGGUUAUUUCUUUAGAUUAAACCUUAAAAGCCCCCUUGGAGGCUGAAGAAGCAGAGGAUAGCCAUGCAUACACUUGAACGUGAAAAAUGGUCCUCUUUCAUUGGAGAGGUCUUCCUCUUCAGCUAAACCGACAGAGUGGUGAAAAGAAGAAGGGACCCCUUGUUGACCAAAAUAAUCCAGACAAAUCAAAUCGGCCCUUUCCAGCAAGGAGUGGAACAGCCCAAGGGUGGCUAGAUCACAUCUUCUGCUCACACCACCACUGAGCAACCCUCUCCAGGACUGCCACCUAUGCAUAGGUCAUGCCCUGUGCAAGAGCACAUAAAGUGGGAGCUGAAGUCCUGCCCAGGCUCCAUUCACCAAGCAGAGCUUAUGUUGUUGUGUGUCUGUGUCUACCCAGAGGAUGUGGGUCCUUUUUAAAAUGUGCACCAAUGCAUCUUGUAUGAGCUGGCACCAGCUCGGACCAUCCCACCCUCAUACCCUGGUCCUAUCCAGGGUUAUAUUCCCUACUUUAGAAGAAUUAAUUAUUUUUAUGAACGUAUUUAGUUUAUUGUAAAAAAUGAAAUAUAUGACACAAAUUGAAAUUAAUUUCAGAGGUAAAGGUCAGAAUAUUACCAUGUAUGUGAAUUAUGUUUGUAUGUAUAUGUAUAUAUCAAGAGAGUUAUAUGAAUAUACAUUUUUGUGUAUCAGAAGUGAGGACAAUUUAACUUUGUUAAGUGUUUGAAAUAAAAUUAUUUUGAGUUUUGGAA
rnacentral:lncRNA from 1 species